UUGGUCUAGCAAAUAUAUACAGAGAUUAAAUAUUGUGGCAAAAUCUUGUCUCCCAUAAAGCAAAAUACAAAGAAACACUAAACCAAUUUGGUCAUGCACAAACCAAACCAGAGCAAAAACUGAGAUCGUCUACUCCUCCCGUGGGUGCUACGGCGAACCAUCGCUGAGUAGGUGUCGGAGAUGGGGCGAGAUAUAAACA